rnacentral:rRNA from 1 species
AGGUGUAGCAAUACAUGCUGACGAGCGGCGAACGGGUGAGUAAUGCUUCGGAAUCUGCCCAAUGGUGGGGAAUAACCAGCCGAAAGGUUGGCUAAUACCGCAUGAGCCCUACGGGGGAAAGCAGGGGAUCGUAAGACCUUGCGCCGAUGGAUGAGCCGAAGUCGGAUUAGCUAGUUGGUAGGGUAACGGCCUACCAAGGCGACGAUCCGUAGCUGGUCUGAGAGGACGACCAGCCACACUGGGACUGAGACACGGCCCAGACUCCUACGGGAGGCAGCAGUGGGGAAUAUUGGACAAUGGGGGAAACCCUGAUCCAGCGACGCCGCGUGUGUGAAGAAGGCCUGCGGGUUGUAAAGCACUUUUAGUGGGGAUGAAAAGCUCAGGGCUAACACCUCUGAGUCUUGACCUAACCCACAGAAAAAGCACCGGCUAACUCUGUGCCAGCAGCCG